CCUACGGGCGGCAGCAGUGAGGAAUAUUGGUCAAUGGACGAGAGUCUGAACCAGCCAAGUAGCGUGAAGGAUGACUGCCCUAUGGGUUGUAAACUUCUUUUAUAUGGGAAUAAAAUGUUCCACGUGUGGGGUUUUGUAUGUACCAUAUGAAUAAGGAUCGGCUAACUCCGUGCCAGCAGCCGCGGUAAUACGGAGGAUCCGAGCGUUAUCCGGAUUUAUUGGGUUUAAAGGGAGCGUAGGUGGCUUGUUAAGUCAGUGGUGAAAGUCUGCGGCUCAACCGUAAAAUUGCAGUUGAAACUGGGAGUCUUGAGUAUAGUAGAGGCGGGCGGAAUUCGUGGUGUAGCGGUGAAAUGCUUAGAUAUCACGAAGAACUCCGAUUGCGAAGGCAGCUCACUGGACCGUAACUGACACUGAGGCUCGAAAGUGUGGGUAUCAAACAGGAUUAGAUACCCUUGUAGUC
rnacentral:rRNA from 1 species